rnacentral:rRNA from 1 species
UACGUAGGGUGCAAGCGUUAAUCGGAAUUACUGGGCGUAAAGCGCACGUAGGCGGCUUGGUAUGUCGGGUGUGAAAUCCCCGGGCUCAACCUGGGAACUGCAUCCGAAACUGCCUUGCUCGAGUAUGGGAGAGGGAACUGGAAUUUACGGUGUAGCAGUGAAAUGCGUAGAUAUCGUAAGGAAGACCAGUGGCGAAGGCGAGUCUCUGGACAGUUACUGACGCUGAGGCACGAAGGCCAGGGGAGCAAACGGG